CCUACGGGUGGCAGCAGUGGGGAAUAUUGGGCAAUGGGCGCAAGUCUGACCCAGCAACGCCGCGUGCAGGAAGACGGCCCUCGGGUUGUAAACUUCUUUUAUCACGGACGAAACAAAUGACGGUACUUGCUGAAUAAGCCACGGCUAACUACGUGCCAGCAGCCGCGGUAAUACGUAGGUCGCAAGCGUUAUGCGGAUUUACUGGGUGUAAAGGGCGUGUAGGCGGGACGGGAAGUCAGAUGUGAAAACCAGGGGCUUAACACAUGGCCUGCAUCUGAUACUGUAGUUCUUGAGUGUUGGAGAGGCAGGCGGAAUUCCGUGUGUAGCGGUGAAAUGCGUAGAGAUACGGAGGAACACCAGUGGCGAAGGCAGCCUGCUGGACAAGAACUGACGCUGAGGCGCGAAAGCGUGGGGAGCAAACAGGAUUAGAUACCCCUGUAGUC
rnacentral:rRNA from 1 species